CGCUCUUCCGCCCGGGCCGCCCUCGGCGCCGCCUGAGCCGCGGUGCGGGCUGCUCGGGCCCCGGGUCCACGGAAGCCUGGGUCGGGGGCUGCGUGCGGGACUCUCGUCGUGAGUGGACGCUGCGCGAGCGCGCAGGGGACGUAAGGCGCCGACCUGGGGCUCCCCGGCGCUCCGGCUCCGCUCAGGGCGCCCGCUCAGGGGCCUCCGGCGCGAGGCGCCCUUCGUGGUCAAGAUGGCGGAGCCCAGGCGGGCCGCACUGAGGUGAGCUGGAGCUGGGCCCGGAGAGGGCUCAGUCAGCCACGCCCAGGACUUGGACCCCGGGCUGGUCUCCCGUCUCCCGGGGAGCGGCGGGUGGGGAAAAUGUACCAGCGUGUAUGCCUACUGGGACCACGUUUUCCAGAACAGUUAAGCCCAGUGUCAACUAUGCUGUCCCACCUUCCUCGACAUCUGCAGAUAUUUAUUUGAAUUUUUUGAAUUGUUCUCAUCAAUAUGAGAAGAGAGCAGGCUGAAUGGAAGACAGUCAUUAUGACCACUGGGGCCACUAGGG